UCUUAUGGAUGAAUAAAGAGAGUAGUUUCUUGCGAUGAAAUCUACUCCCGGUGAAGAUGCUGUGAA
rnacentral:pre_miRNA from 1 species